rnacentral:rRNA from 1 species
GACGGAGGCUAGGGGAGGCCCCGUCGAGUAGGCGGACGCGCGGGUCGCUUCGACGCUCUCGCGCGAGCGGGGCGGAGCGGCCCGUGGUGCAGAUCUUGGUGGUAGUAGCGAUCACCCAGGCGAGAACCCUGAGGGCCGAAGUGGAGAAGGGUUUCUCGAGAACGGCACUCGCUCGAGAGUUAGUCGAUCCUAAGCUGCCGGCGGCAGCCACGAAACGGUCGAUCGGGCGCGAGCCCGGCAGCCACGACCGGGCAGCGAAAGGGAAUUGGGAACCUCCUUCCCAAACCCGGAACCGGAACGAGGGCGGCGACGCGGAACGAAACGGCCGCGGAGACGGCUGCCGCGGCCCCGGAGAGAGUUCUCUUUUCUGUGCGACUGGACGUCGGCCCCGGAAUCGCGUCGAGCGGAGGGGGGGUCGGAGUUCAGGAAUAGCACCC